GAUGAAGAACGCAGCGAAAUGCGAUACUUGGUGUGAAUUGCAGAAUCCCGUGAACCAUCGAGUCUUUGAACGCAAGUUGCGCCCGAAGCCAUCAGGUUGAGGGCACGUCUGCCUGGGCGUCACAUAUCGCUGCCCAAUGCCUAUUGCAGUGCAAUAGGAAUUUCUAGGGCGAAUGAUGGCUUCCCGUGAGCGUUGUUGCCUCGCGGUUGGUUGAAAAUCGAGUCCUUGGUAGGGUGUGCCAUGGUAGAUGGUGGUCGAGUUAGAACGAUACCGAUCAUGUGCAUGCUCCCCAAAAUAUGGCCUCUAUGACCCACACGCGUCUUUUGACGCUCAUGACGAGACCUCAGGUCAGGCGGGGCUACCCGCUGAAUUUAAGCAUAUCAAUAAGCGGAGGA
rnacentral:misc_RNA from 1 species